GGACACUCAGAUAGUCGGGACACACGAGGGAAUUAUCACAGAGAUGUCAGAACUGGUAGUGGAAUAAAAAUGAUGACUUCUGAAUGCUUCUAAACCACGGAUAAGCUGCUGGAAUGGUUCAUAACUUCACGUCUUCUGAAGAUGAAAUACUGGCUUAUUACACAAUUCACCAUUAUGGAAACUCCACACCUGCUGAUGUUUGCAUCAUUUAGUGACAGGACAGAACUGGUGACAAGGAACCCGGCGAUGCUUUCAAACAGCAAACACGGUGCUAUUGAAAAUCCAACAUCAAUACAUGGAAAUAUGCUCCUGUCUGAGAAAGUCAUUACCGCUGACAAGUACACAGAGCAGGAAAAUAGCUUCCAUGGUUUGGGGCAGAUUCUGGAUCUUCACUAAUGGAAGGCAUCAGGCAAUUGAACAAAGCGGUGACAAGCUGAGUUAGUGGAAAUAAAAG